rnacentral:tRNA from 1 species
AGGAAUUUAGGUUAANUUCAGACCAAGAGCCUUCAAAGCCCUAAGUAAGCAUCCUACGCUUAAUUCCUG